AUUGAACGCUGGCGGCAUGCCUUACACAUGCAAGUCGAACGGUAACGGGUCCUUCGGGAUGCCGACGAGUGGCGAACGGGUGAGUAAUAUAUCGGAACGUGCCCAGUAGUGGGGGAUAACUGCUCGAAAGAGCAGCUAAUACCGCAUACGACCUGAGGGUGAAAGGGGGGGAUCGCAAGACCUCUGGCUAUUGGAGCGGCCGAUAUCAGAUUAGCUAGUUGGUGGGGUAAAGGCCUACCAAGGCAACGAUCUGUAGUUGGUCUGAGAGGACGACCAGCCACACUGGGACUGAGACACGGCCCAGACUCCUACGGGAGGCAGCAGUGGGGAAUUUUGGACAAUGGGCGCAAGCCUGAUCCAGCAAUGCCGCGUGCAGGAAGAAGGCCUUCGGGUUGUAAACUGCUUUUGUCAGGGAAGAAAUCUUCUGGGCUAAUACCCCGGGAGGAUGACGGUACCUGAAGAAUAAGCACCGGCUAACUACGUGCCAGCAGCCGCGGUAAUAC
rnacentral:rRNA from 1 species